AACUUCACUCUAGCCCAGCCUCCAGAAUUACGAGACCAUCAAAAACCCAUUCCAACCCCUAACUAAAACAUUCUUCCGACUUAGUAUAGGCGAUAGAAAAGGCUCACAUGGCGCGAUAGAGAUUUUGUCCGUAGGGAAAGAUGAAAUAGUAAUGAAACCAGGUUUCUAACAGCAAAGAUGAACCCUGGUACCUCUUGGCAUCAUGGUUAGCAAGACACCAAGCCAAACGAUUUUAAGCUUGCUUUUCCCGAAACCAAGGCGGAGGCUUACUUACGGAGCAAGGCUACAUAUGAAGCGAACCGUCUUCUGUUGCAAAAGAGUGGGAUGACUCGUCCAGUAGAGGGUGAAAAGCCAAUCGAGCUGGGUGAUAGCUGGUUGCCUGUGAAAUGAAUCUGAGUUCUGCCUUAAUCACCCUCCACGGACACUCCCCUAACCCUCAUGAAGCAGAUUAAGAGUAAUUUAAAGGGGGUACAGCCCCUUUAAAAAAGAGCACAACCUCCUCUAGCGGAUAAUUAUCACCAAUCUUAAACCCUAUCUGUGGGCCCUCAAGCAGCCACCAACAAAGAGUGCGUCAAAGCUCUGCACUUAAAAGAUCUAAAAACAACGUGACUCCCUCACCUCUAACAGGCCAACCUAUAAUAAUAGGAGAAUCAAUGCUAAAAUAAGUAACUAGGGGCUUACCCUCUCAAGCGCAAGCUUACAUACUCACAUUAUUAACAGACCUCACUAAUACUACAACUCCAACGAGACUAAAUAUUACAAUAUCUGUUAACCCAACUCAGGAGCGCCCAUUAGAAAGAUUAAAAUCUGUAAAAGGAACUAGGCAAACCCAGGGCCCGACUGUUUACCAAAAACAUAGCCCUCAGCAGUCCAAGUAUUGAGGGUGAUGCCUGCCCAGUGACACUGUUUAACGGCCGCGGUAUCCUAACCGUGCGAAGGUAGCGCAAUCAAUUGUCCCAUAAAUCGAGACUUGUAUGAAUGGCUAAACGAGGUCCUAACUGUCUCUUACAGACGAUCAGUGAAAUUGAUCUCCCUGUGCAAAAGCAGGAAUGUACACAUAAGACGAGAAGACCCUGUGGAACUUAAAAAUCAACGGCCACUGCACACAAUAUUAAACCUACUAGGCUUACCAUAAUUAAAACAUUGGCUCGUAUUUUUUGGUUGGGGCGACCUUGGAGAAAAACAGACCCUCCAAAAAUAAGACCACCCGUCUUAACCAAGAGCAACACCUCGACGUACUAACAGUAACCAGACCCAAUAUAAUUGAUCAAUGAACCAAGCUACCCCAGGGAUAACAGCGCAAUCUCCUUCAAGAGCCCAUAUCGACAAGGAGGUUUACGACCUCGAUGUUGGAUCAGGACACCCUAAUGGUGCAGCCGCUAUUAAGGGUUCGUUUGUUCAACGAUUAACAGUCCUACGUGAUCUGAGUUCAGACCGGAGCAAUCCAGGUCGGUUUCUAUCUAUGACAGACUUUCUCCAGUACGAAAGGACCGAGAAGGUGAGGCCAAUACUACAAGCAUGCCUUCCCCUUAAGUAAUGCACACAACUAAAUUACCAAAAGGACCCCCACAACAAUCUAUAAUCCUAGAAAAGGAUU
rnacentral:rRNA from 1 species